rnacentral:rRNA from 1 species
CAAAAAUAGGUCUCAGUUCGGACUGUAGGCUGCAACUCGCCUACACGAAGUUGGAAUUGCUAGUAAUCGUGGAUCAGCAUGCCACGGUGAAUACGUUCCCGGGUCUUGUACACACCGCCCGUCACACCAUGGGAGUCGGAAAUGCCCGAAGCCGGUGACUCAACCUGCAAAGGAGAGAGCCGUCGAAGGCAGGUCUGAUAACUGGGGUGAAGUCGUAACAAGGUAUC